CAUAGACUCCCCCCACCCCCAUCUUUACUCUCGGGAAGUGAUAAAGCAGUGUGAAAUUAGAGAACCCAUGACAAAUGGGAUAUCGGAUCAGGUAGUGCUUAACUACUAAGUACCCAGGAUUUUUUUUUUUCACUGUUCUAUCAUAUCACCCAAAGAAGGAAGAGAACUUUGAAUGCUCUUCCUGUGAAUAAUUAAUGAUUGAUUUGCUAUGCUUGGAAUGUGUAAUGGAGUGAAUUCCAGAGAAUGUGCCUAUCCUUGGUGGUGGGCAAGAGAAAAUGCACGGAUCUUUCUCAAGAAAAUAGCUCUGAUUGGAUAUUUUGCUAAUGAUCGUAAUUAUGUGAAGACAUAAUGGAGAUAUGUAAUGUAAUGUGAAGACAUAAUUACAAAUGGAGAUGCACCAGCCACUUUAUAAUCAGAGAAACAAACCUGAAAGGGAAGGCCAACACACCCAGGAUGACAUCCCAGCAGAAGAAUGACGGGAACACUGGGUCCCUGAUCACCUCAUUUUCGUUCUGGACCUCUUGUUAAACAACUUCAACAAACUCCCAGGCUACUUAGGAUCCCUAACUGAAGUUUUGAGCCGUGGUGGAAGAUGGCUUCCAAAGAUGGCCACCAGCAAUUCCUCCCCUCAUUCUGCGCAUGUGCCACACCUACCAUACAAAGGACAAGAAAGCAUCAAAUUCAAAGAGGUCAACUGAUGUGUUCAAGGUUACAGACCCAAACCAGUAGCUCAGUGUGACAAGAGAGCAGGACCCUGGAUAUCCAGAGAAAGAGUUUGCCGUCAUCUUAUCACUGAACUUGGGGUGGGGUCCCGGUCUCAGGUGGGGAAAUAAGCGACUAUGAUGAGACCGUGUAUUUUAACAUGUUUGGGCCUCUGUCUCCUCAUGUGUAAAUGGGAAGGAUGUGGACUACCCAUUGCUUUUCAACCUGCAGUGGUAUUUCAGUGACCUCAGAGACGAGGGAAGAAGGGGUUCUCGGCUCUUUACUCCCAACUCAACCACAGUUGGGAAAAUGUCUGUAUUACUUUUAACUGUGAUGUGCAUUGAGGUCAUGAAAAUAUGAAAAGAAUAAUUGCAUAUAUAUACAUGCAUACAUGUGUAUGUGUAUAUGUAUGUGUAUACCUGUGUGCAUGCACACA